UGUGAGUGAUUAUAUAUAUUAUAAUUAUUUUAAACAAAGAUGGUUGUUUGUUUAAUUAUCAACUUCCCAACAUUUUGAAAUGGGAUAAAAUAACUCCACUCUUCGGCUCCAUUUAACUCUUUCUGAACCCCACAAUUAGCGGUGAAGAACACAAGAGGAAUUCAGAAAGACGAAAAACGAUGAGGAUCUUUGGAAAGCACGUAUUUCCAGGCCAAAUCAUACUCUUCGCUUCUGGGGUUCUGUUCUUGGCUUCAACAACUUAUGAUGUUCACAGGUCCAUCAAGAACAACCAAACGCCCCCUACACAAGACCAGCUCAAGGCUCUUGAGGACUACCUCAAAUCCGUCCGUCGAUCCCCUUGACAUCCAACGAGCCAUAUUAUGUCACGUGGCCCCUUGACAUCCUCAAAUGUUUUGGAAAAAUAAACAGCGACUCUAUGUAUAAUUAGGAAAUUUCAUUAGCGAAAUUUUCUGUUGUUAAACCGAUGAAACUAUUGUAUGUAAUACUUAUCUAUAACAAUAUAUAAUGGCAAUAUAUAAGUUUGAAGUUUGGUGUCUAA